rnacentral:lncRNA from 1 species
CCUCAGAUCUGUGCCACCCUGUUCGUUUGAAGAAGGAUCUGGCCGUUGAUUGCUGGUGCUUCCCCUCGCCCGACGGUGGGUGUUCUUCUCACUCUCCUCGCCCUCUCCACCCCUCCCCAGUCGGGGCUUCUUUUAGUUGAUUUGUUUGCUUUUCCCUUUUCCGUUCAGAUCUGCCAUGACUUGGGAUAGUACUUCUGUCCAGCAAGCAGCGCUUUGGCUGGGAGCUCAAGCUCAAGCAGAACGUCAAAAACAUGGGCUCUAUCUGCUAAUGGGGUAGCCGGCAAUGCAGUCUAAGGGCUGGCUACUGCUCAUCUGAUUUCUGGAUAUGAGAGGAUGAGAACUUGAGAAGAACAAGCUUGAUGCUAUGAUUGCAAAAAAAUCUGUACUACAGGUAUUCCUUUCAGUACUGUUGCAGCAAUCCUUAAUUAGCUACUAUUUUAUGAACUGAAUGUGAUUGAUUUGUGAACUUUAGAGCUUGUAAGUUGUAAUUUGUGAUUUCAUAGGAUGCUUGAAGGUCAAUAGAAGGGUAUUAUUCCUAUGAAAAUUCAUUACUUUCUAUAUAUAUAUAUAAAUUUAUCCACAUAUAUGUGCUUUGAUACGAGGGACAAACCUGAGAACUAGCUUCAGAUUCCACAAAAAAGUCCAAAUAAUCAUACUAAUGUUUCAGAUUUUUAGUUAAGCAUUGUAGAAUUCUGGCAAACAGAGGAGUAUAUUAAAUCUUCAUCCUCUGAACUAGGUGAGAGUUAAGACACACCAUACACAGGCUCUGUAAGAUGGCGGAAAUAUUCCUCUUCGUCAACGACUUCUACGAGGACGAUAUUGACCUAGAGGCUGGAGCUUUGCUACUCCUUCCGGCCAACAACAAGGCAUCGUUUACUUUUUCUCUCCCCACAUCCAAUACUUCCCUGUUCCUGUCCCUACCGCUUAUUUCUUGCUAUAGGGCAACACACUACAAGUGUUUGAUAAACUGUUAGUCUCAAUGCUCCAAUUCUGGCAGAAGGAUUUUCGGUAGGAAGACAUAGCACCAAUCAAGGAUUUUCGGUAGGAAGACAUAGCAUCACUCAUGGUUAUAUAUAUUUACUAUUGUAUUUCUGUAUUUUUGCAAAAUUAGUUCUGUGAAGCUUCUAGAUUAUUUUAGUUCUUCAGUGGUUUUACCCUUAGGCUUAGCUUGUAUUAACUUACAACUUUUUUCUCCAUAAUUUUGCAACAAUAGUUCUAUAGUACUUAAUACAGUUUUUCUAGAAUCAUGAUAAAAUACAUAUAUAUCUAGCCGUUUGUAUUUCGACGGUCAUGUUUCUAAAGAUUUUAAAGUUUUAUUUUCACUAUAAAUUUGCUUUAGUUGUUCUGUAACUUCCAGCAUAGUUCAGUUAAGGGGUUCUAGUCUUAGGCUUGUAUAAACUUACAACAUCUUUCAUUUGCAAUGACAAUGGUUUCACAACUGUAGACAGUUCAUCUUUAUAAGGCCAUUGUAUCCAUGAAGAAAUUUGUUACUUAUUUCUGAAUACAUCUCGUACUGUUUAUCGCAUUUUAAGAUAUGGCAUGAAGCUAGCUAAGGGCUUUUAUUAUUUCUAGCAGCAUGUGAUUCACUGAACAAAAAAAGGACUGCACUCACAUAUGAAAUGCUUGCAAGUUAUAGAAAAAUGAAGCAAAGGACCAACGGUGUAGGUAAGGGCUUUAAUUUGUUAGUACUCCAUUUGCUAUGCAUCAAGAUUCAAUCAAGUAGGAUUCCCCGUGUAUUUGCAGUUUUUACAUAGUGUUUUGCAUGUGAAUUGUGGUCACUACUAUCAAUUCAUGGAAAUUUAAAUGUAUAGUGAUGGAUGAAACGAAUGGAACCUAUAUCCUGGGUUCCCAGUACUAUACUGUUGCUUCAAAAACACUUGUAUGUACAGAUAGUUUCUCUUGGAUAUCAUAAGUAAACGUUCUUGAGAUAAAUUUCGCUCAGUUUUUUAGUGGGGAAGGAAAGCUUCAUGAUAUUCCAUUUAAAGCGCUGAUAUCUAUUUGAAAAUUAAUUUAAGUGCAUACCUCCUCGAUCCUAACAGUAUUUGUGUACUGUAUAGGAGAAAUCUUCUCAGUUUCUGAAUCCUGAGCAGUAGCAAGUCAGGUGCUUAAUGGUGAUCCUACCACGCAUAUGUCAUAAGCAGGUUAGUUCUAAAAAGGUCAUUGUUAAUUCGCCCGCGUCUGUCCCGCAAUUGCCACAACUUAGUGCAGUGAGAUCAGACGAUGGUCGUCAAUUUAAUCUAAUUUGUGGCACUGAAGUACAGAUGCUUUUAUGAAUAUAAUAGUCAGGUGCAGUGUAAGUUCAGAUGCUUUUUGUUUGGUAUUUUGCAAGUCCUCAUGUGCUUAGUACUGCAUUUAGAAAUGAUUAAGAAUAGAUUCUUAUCCUUGAGAUUCGUUUCUAACAUUGGGAAAGUAUGUCUAACCUCCUGAUGUACGUGUGUUUUUGAGAAUGCUUUUCCCAGGGCAUGCUGCACUCGUCAUUGAAACUCCUAGCUGUGUAUUAGAUAGUAAUCAUUUUGCCUAAUGCAUUGCCAUCUAGGGCAGCAAAGUGCGGUCUUUUCCACCCCAGAGAAGAAAAAGAAAGAAAACUAGUGUAGUUUUUUCUUCAAAAAUGACUUUCGUGUGUCCGUUGGUGGAUGUGUUUCUCCCAAUAAUUGGGUCUGGACAUGUUAAAUUGUUGCCCUAUGGCCAGAUGAUGCAUAUGCUCCUUUUCCAUUUAAUAUACUUCCUAGUCUGCGGCUUGAGGAGAUUGAUGCAUGCUAUAUGGUGGGUCGGUGUGGCAUUGAUGCUUUAUUAUGUCUAACACAUCACAAAUUCUAAUUAGAACAUGCCCUGUUUUUAUAAUACUAAAAUCCCAGUUUGUUUUUGCCAUUGAUGCUUUAUACAAUUAUUAUUUUUGCCAUUAUCUCCAUGAAUGCAAGAAUUCACCAGUGACCCUUUUAUCCUUUGUAGGAAUGACAUGCAAGAGAACCAGGAAGGAACCAUGAAGAUGGCAGUUUGCAUCAGCUAGACAUUUUGUGUAAUGGAGCAAAUACAAUGUGUCUUUUAGUUAUCGUUUUGUAAACCUAUAUGGUGUCUUGUCAACUGGGUAUUUUGUGUAAAGGAGCAAACAAUGAAUCGUCAGACAUGCAUCUAUCAUUUUGUAAACCAAUCAGGUGUCUUGGUGAUUGAAACAUAAAUGUUUCCUCCUUUCAAUUAGUUACUUUUACCUAUAAGAACAUUCUUCUUUGGUUGUGGUUUAAUAUUUUCAGAGUUCAUGCAAGUUUCCAUUGCAAUGAG